rnacentral:tRNA from 1 species
CGGGGUGUAGCGCAGCCUGGUAGCGCACCUGCUUUGGGAGCAGGAAGUCGGGGGUUCGAAUCCCUCCACCCCGACCA